CUACGGGUUGCAGCAGUGAGGAAUUUUGCGCAAUGGGGGGAACCCUGACGCAGCAACGCCGCGUGAGUGAUGAAGGCUUUCGGGUCGUAAAGCUCUGUCAAGUGGGAAGAACCUAUGCAGUGUUAAUAUCACUGUAUACUGACGGUACCACUGAAGGAAGCACCGGCUAACUCCGUGCCAGCAGCCGCGGUAAUACGGGGGGUGCAAGCGUUAUUCGGAAUCAUUGGGCGUAAAGGGCACGUAGGCGGCUUGGUAAGUCAGAUGUGAAAGCACGGGGCUUAACCCCGGAAGUGCAUUUGAUACUGUCAGGCUUGAGUAUGGGAGAGGGAAGUGGAAUUGCUGGUGUAGAGGUGAAAUUCGUAGAUAUCAGGAGGAACACCGGUGGCGAAGGCGACUUCCUGGACCAAUACUGACGCUGAGGUGCGAAGGCGUGGGUAGCAAACAGGAUUAGAUACCCUCGUAGUC
rnacentral:rRNA from 1 species